UCGGGCAUGGUGUAUGGUUCACGGCCUCCCGACAUGUGGUGAUAGGCGACAUUGUUGGAAGCUGCAGACUGGGGUUCGACUCCCCGUGUCCGAA